AUUAUUAGGUAUUGUUUUAGAUUUUAACUAUCGAUAGUAUUAUUUAUUUUCAAUUUACUUUUAUUUUUCCGUGAGGGAGGAGGGGAUUGCCCUAUGAAUUGUCAUACAUUAAGAGAGACCGGUGCUAGUUUGGUACCGAGGUAAGUUGACCAAGUCGAUUUUUAAAAUCAAGUGUUUAAGUUGGACACGUAUCAAUAGCAAUAUAUUAUGACCGUCGUUAUUUAUCACUGUACGAUUUGUAGUGAUUAUAUGAUUUUUCCUUAAUCUUGUUAUCAGUAAAUAUUGUUUUCAACUGUUGUUUUUUUUAACGUUUUAAAAAUGUUGUUUUUACCGAUUUAAAUUGUUUUUUUUUAACAUUAAAACAGAGUAAAAAAGGUAUGUAGAACACGAUUCAGGUAUUUAAUUUUAAUUUUACAGAAAGAAAAGAAUAGCAAAAAUGUAAUUUCCAGUUCCGUUUGCAUUUAACCUGAAGCUGAGUCAAAUGAAGAAAAAACGGAAGCAGAGGUUUUGGGCUAAUGAGACAUUACAAAAGCGAAAUAAAUAUAAUUGUGAAAAUCUGUUAUCUGAGCUACGAUUAAACCAACCUGAAGACUAUUGAAUUUUUAUUAAGAAUGAACGAGUCAUGCUAUGAUGAACUUUUAACUUAAGUUACUCCAUUAAUAAAAAAACAAAAUACAAUAAUGCGAAAAUCGAUUUCAUCCAGCCAAAGACUUUCCUGGACUCCGCGUUACUUAUCCACUGGUAACACACUUGAAGAUCUCAAAUUUAUUUUAUUAAUUUAUUUUUAUUGACAGUACGUCAAUAAAAAUCAAAUAUUUUUAAUUUGUUCAAUAUUAUUGAUCAAUCCUUCAAUACUGCCAAUACAUGAUCAAUAUUAUUGACAAUAUCAAAUAUUAAUCAAUAUUAUUGACCGUGUAUGGGCCGCCUAACAUCAGAAUUUAAACAAUACCGGUGGAAACAUGCGAUAUUGUAUUAUUGAUCGGAUAUUAUAAUUUUUAUAAAUAGAUCAACAGUCAAAAAGUUCUGUUUAUAAAUUGAUCACCAAAUUAACAGAUCUGCCUACGAAGUUUUGGAUAGAUUGUGAUUAUUAAUUAUUAUAUUGUUGUCAGUUAGUCACUUAGUAUUUAUUCGUCACAUGUUUGUGUAAAUUAUUUUAAAUUAAUACUAAAAUAUUAUUACACAUAAUAAAACAUUAGGUUUCAUGAAAAUAAAUAUUAACAUAAUUGUUAUGUUUCAUAUAUGAUAAAUACCUAUGAGUUAAUUAAAGAUAAGUUUAAAAUUUAGAAUUCCAUAGCAAGCGUGGAUCCAGGAGACUAAGGGGGCGCGCGCCUACUUCAAAUCCCCUAAAAAUACUUUUGUUGAAAUGUAUACCCCCCCCCAUCUUAGGAAAAAAAGUCUGACGAAGGUAUAUUCCUCGUCCCCAUAAUAUUACGUAAUUUUGAGUUUAGGUAGGUAUAAUAUUUCUUUAAGGAGUUUAGCCCCCCCUCCCACCAAUAAACGCUUAUAUGCUGAGCGUAUACCCUAGAAAAAAAAUUACGAAUACACCACUGGUAAUGAUCUUUGUUUUAACUUUUUUUUUUUUUGCUAUGAUUUUAGAACAUAAACAACCAAACAAAAAAUAAAAUUUAUAAUUAUCUGGAAUUGAUGAUAGAUUUAAACAAGAAACGUCGGAUUUAAUAACUGUUGUUGGUCAACUAAUUAAUUUGGAGUUGGAUUUAAUUCAUCUUGUAUAUACUUACAUACUAAACAAUCUGCUUAAGGCACUAUAAAAGUAUAUAGUAUAUUCUAUAGUACCCUAAAUUUAUUAUUAAUAAAUUUAAAGUUGAACGAUCUACAUAAUUAUGCACGUUAUUAUUGCAGUACAUGAAUACAAAUUCACACUGGCGUACAGUUAUAAUGCGGUCGGUUCGAUAUACUAGCAAUAUGAUAAUUUGGUCACGCACGUGAUUCCAAAAAAUAUAUAAUAAAGUACAGUUGAAAGCAAAUUAAAUCCAGUUGGAAUUAAUUGUUGCAGCGGUCGGGGUCAACUACAAAUCAUAAGUUUGCGGUGAAAUUCAUUAAACGCGAAAUUAAUCGAUUCAAACACGAUAUAAAAUAAAAUCCCUUCUUAUUGCACUACUAAAGGAACUGUUAUUUCAAAAUUUCAAGCUCAUACGUUAUAUCGAUAUUAAGAUGCGAUGAUCGAUCAGUGAAUGAGUGGUGUUUGAAUUAUAUACAUAAGUAUCUACUGGUUAUUAGUAUUAAUUUUAGUAUUUGUUUACCAGUACGACUGCGGUGUUAUAGAAUCGACUUAUUAUUUUUCAAGCCGCAACAGAAUACAAAGAAAAAAAUAUUCCGGGACGCAAUUUACUGCGACCCGUUUACGUAUACAAGAGGCUGUUUGCGCAGUUCCAGUGGUUUGAACGCUUGUCGGUAUACGGACGUCAACCUCCAGUGUUCCGGGU